AUUGAACGCUGGCGGCAGGCUUAACACAUGCAAGUCGAGCGGAGCGAAGGUGCUUGCACCUUAGCUUAGCGGCGGACGGGUGAGUAAUGCUUAGGAAUCUGCCUAUUAGUGGGGGACAACGUUUCGAAAGGAACGCUAAUACCGCAUACGUCCUACGGGAGAAAGCAGGGGAUCUUCGGACCUUGUGCUAAUAGAUGAGCCUAAGUCGGAUUAGCUAGUUGGUGGGGUAAAGGCCUACCAAGGCGACGAUCUGUAGCGGGUCUGAGAGGAUGAUCCGCCACACUGGGACUGAGACACGGCCCAGACUCCUACGGGAGGAAGCAGUGGGGAAUAUUGGACAAUGGGCGAAAGCCUGAUCUCGCCAUGCCGCGUGUGUGAAGGAGGCCUUUUGGUUGUAAAGCACUUUAAGCGAGGAGGAGGAGCUUCAGGUUAAUACCCUGGAUGCUUGGACGUUACUCGCAGAAUAAGCACCGGCUAACUCUGUGCCAGCCGCCGCCGUAA
rnacentral:rRNA from 1 species